rnacentral:rRNA from 1 species
GAUGAACGCUGGCGGCGUGCCUUAUACAUGCAAGUCGAGUGGGUUUAGACCCACGGCAAACGGGUGAGUAACACGUAGGUACUUUCCUUGUCACAGGAAUAACCCUCCGAAAGGAGGGCUAAUACCUGAUGUGAUCGCAAGAUUAAAGGGUAUCCGCAAAGAUUACCGGACAAGAAGAGGCCUGCGGCCUAUCAGCUAGUUGGCGGGGUAAAUGCCCACCAAGGCUAUGACGGGUAGCUGGUCUUAUGAGGAUGAUCAGUCACAUGGGCACUGAGACACGAGCCCAACUCCUACGGGAGGCAGCAGUAGGGAAUUUUGCGCAAUGGGCGAAAGCCUGACGCAGCGACGCCGCGUGCGGGAUGAAGGCCUUCGGGUCGUAAACCGCUUUUAUAAGGGACGAACUUUGACGGUACCUUAUGAAUAAGAGGUUGCUAACUCUGUG